CAUGGCCAUGGAAGCUCAAGGAAGAAGUUAAGACUGAGAACAACGAUCAUAUUUGUUUGAAGGUGGUGUGGCAGGAUAGUUCUGUGGCGCAGUUUAAGAGGCAUACACUGCCUAGUAAACUGAUGAGAGCCUAUUGUGAAUAACAGGAUUUGUCAAUGAGGCAGAUCAGAUUCGGAUUUGAUGGGCAGUCAAUCAAUGAAACAGACAUACCUGCACAGUUGGUAAUGGAGGAUGAAUACACAAUUGACGUUUUCCUGCAGGAGACAGGUGUCUACUAA
rnacentral:lncRNA from 1 species